UUUCUCAUGGCUCAUACGAGAUACCUAAAGAAAUUGGACUAAGCAAAACCCAACCAUUCGGACCACUUUUCAACACCAAAUAGUAACAAAUGCACACACUCGAACGAAUAAAUUUAGGAGGCCAUUCGAAGGAAAGAGAACAAGGACAGAAUCUCAUACUAAACAUGUGAUUAACAAACAACAUUAAGCAAUAAUAAACCAAAGAAAAAUAAUGGGAAAGAGAGCCUGUUACACUGCUGGCAGAUAACAUAUCUUAUGCAAUAAUCAAGCCAACACUACAAAAGGAAAUUAAUGAUACUAGUUCAUUAUGCUAAACGAUAAAAAUUUUGAAGACAACAACCAACUAACUCAUUUU
rnacentral:lncRNA from 1 species